GUUGAACUACGUUAUGACUUGAUCCCUAUAUUAUAAAGGGUACGUAGGCAGCUUAAGGAAAACCUUAAGCCCAGUCCAGCAAAAAAAAAAGUUGAACUACGUUAUGACUUGAUCCCUAUAUUAUAAAGGGUACGUAGGCAGCUUAAGGAAAACCUUAAGCCCAGUCCAGCAAAAAAAAAAAGUUGAACUACGUUAUGACUUGAUCCCUAUAUUAUAAAGGGUACGUAGGCAGCUUAAGGAAAACCUUAAGCCCAGUCCAGCAAAAAAAAAAGUUGAACUACGUUAUGACGUGAUCCCUAUAUUAUAAAGGGUACGUAGGCAGCUUAAGGAAAACCUUAAGCCCAGUCCAGCAAAAAAAGUUGAACUACGUUAUGACUUGAUCCCUACAUUAUAAAGGGUACGUAGGCAACUUAAAGAAAACUUUAAGUUCAGUCCACCAUUAUAAAAAAAAAAAAAAAAAAAAACCUUGAACUACGUCGUGAGUUAAUUCUUUUCUUCAAAGGGUGUUCAUCUCUACUAAGGAAUCAUAACAAAUUGGGGGCAAAUCCCUAAAUUCAAGAUGUUCAUCUUUAGUAACAAUGAGAUGAAAUAAAUUGAAGAUGUACAAACUCCGUGCAAAGACUAUGUACAAGUUGAGUGCAUGUAAAAAGAAAAAAAAAAAAGAAUCUCAAAAUCAAGCUCAAAGGCAUCAUUAAUGAUCCCUCAAAUUCAAGCAUAAAAGUUUCAUUGAUGAUUCCUUAUAUUCAAGUUUGAAGGCUUCAUCGAUGCUGCAGCUCCAGCUCUUUGAGAGGAUAACGAUGGUACAACUUUGAUAGGACGACGAUCGGGCAGCUCUGCCUUCGCCUCUCCAAGAUGAAAACGACAGUGUAACAUCGUUUCUGCCUCUUGAAGAAGAUGCAUACAAUGCUAAAGCUUUAACCUCUGCUUCAUCUUCAGCUUAUUGCAACCGAAGAGGAUUCAUCUUCAUCGUCUUCUAAGUUUUGCAAUCGAAGAUGAUUCAUCUUCAUCUGCUCUAAGGUGUCGCAAGUGAGAGGAUUCAUCUUUGUCUUCCUCCAUGUGUUACAACCGAGAUGAUUCAUCUUCAUCUUCACCUAGGAGUCGCAAUCAAGAAGAUUCAUUUUCAUCUUCUCUCAGGUGUAACAACCGAAGAUGAUUCAUCUUCAUCUGCUCUAAGGUGUCGCAAGUGAGAGGAUUCAUCUUUGUCUUCUCCUAUGUGUUGCAACCGAGAGGAUUCAUCUUCAUCUUCUCCUAAGAAUUGCAACUGAGAAGAUUCACCUUCAUCUUCUUUCAGGUGUCGCAACCAAAGAAGAUUCAUCUUUAUCUUCUUCCAGGUGCUGCAACCAAAGAGGAUUCAUCUUCAUCUUCUUUCAUAUGACGUAGCCGGAAGGAUUGACCUUCAUCUUCUUCCAAGUGCUGCAACUGAAGAGAAUUCAUCUUCAUCUCCUCCCAUAUGUCAUAGCCGAGAGGAUUCAUCUUCAUCUUCUCCUAUAUGUCGUAGCUGAGAGUAUUCAUCUUUAUCAUCUAACAGGUGUCGCAACCCGGCCGAUGGAAUUCAUUUUCAUCAGCUCUAAGGUGUCGCAAGCUAGAUGAUUCAUCUUCAUCUUCUCCCUAGUACCACAACCAAGAAAGAAAGAAAAAAAAAAAAGGAGAAGCAAGAAGAAGAAAGAAGAAAAUGAUGAAGAAGAAAGAAGGAAGAAGAAAGAAAGAAAAAAAGCAAAAAGAAAGAAGAAAAAGAAAAAAAAAAACAAAAACAAAAAAAACAAAAGAAAGAAGAAGAAGAAGAAA
rnacentral:lncRNA from 1 species